rnacentral:rRNA from 1 species
CCUACGGGCGGCAGCAGUGGGGAAUAUUGCACAAUGGGGGGAACCCUGAUGCAGCCAUGCCGCGUGAAUGAAGAAGGCCUUCGGGUUGUAAAGUUCUUUCGGUGACGAGGAAGGUUGGUAUGUUAAUAGCAUAUCAAAUUGACGUUAAUCACAGAAGAAGCACCGGCUAACUCCGUGCCAGCAGCCGCGGUAAUACGGAGGGUGCGAGCGUUAAUCGGAAUAACUGGGCGUAAAGGGCACGCAGGCGGUGACUUAAGUGAGGUGUGAAAGCCCCGGGCUUAACCUGGGAAUUGCAUUUCAUACUGGGUCGCUAGAGUACUUUAGGGAGGGGUAGAAUUCCACGUGUAGCGGUGAAAUGCGUAGAGAUGUGGAGGAAUACCGAAGGCGAAGGCAGCCCCUUGGGAAUGUACUGACGCUCAUGUGCGAAAGCGUGGGGAGCAAACAGGAUUAGAUACCCUUGUAGUC